AGUGAACGCUGGCGGUAGGCCUAAUACAUGCAAGUCGAACGGCAGCACAGUAAGAGCUUGCUCUUACGGGUGGCGAGUGGCGCACGGGUGAGGAAUACAUCGGAAUCUACUUUUUCGUGGGGGAUAACGUAGGGAACCUUACGCUAAUACCGCAUACGACCUACGGGUGAAAGCAGGGGAUCUUCGGACCUUGCGCGAUUGAAUGAGCCGAGGUCGGAUUAGCUAGUUGGCGGGGUAAAGGCCCACCAAGGCGACGAUCCGUAGCUGGUCUGAGAGGAUGAUCAGCCACACUGGAACUGAGACACGGUCCAGACUCCUACGGGAGGCAGCAGUGGGGAAUAUUGGACAAUGGGCGCAAGCCUGAUCCAGCCAUACCGCGUGGGUGAAGAAGGCCUUCGGGUUGUAAAGCCCUUUUGUUGGGAAAGAAAAGCAGCAGGUUAAUACCCCGCUGUUCUGACGGUACCCAAAGAAUAAGCACCGGCUAACUUCGUG
rnacentral:rRNA from 1 species